rnacentral:rRNA from 5 species
AAACUUUCAACAACGGAUCUCUUGGUUCCCGCAUCGAUGAAGAACGCAGCGAAAUGCGAUAAGUAAUGUGAAUUGCAGAAUUCAGUGAAUCAUCGAAUCUUUGAACGCACAUUGCGCCCCCCGGUAUUCCGGAGGGCAUGCCUGUUCGAGCCUCAA